CAUUUAGGUUCUUGCUACGAUUUUAACUUUGUGGUUAGCAGACAAAUCUGGUCGCCGACUUUUACUUAUUGUUUCUUCAUCUGCAAUGGCUUUGAGUCUUUUGGUUGUUUCAAUAUCAUUCUACUUGAAGGAAUAUAUAUCACCAGAUUCUGAUUUAUAUGCGACAUUGAGCCUCGUAUCGGUGGCUGGAGUUGUGGUGUGUAAAUACAACUUUAUUACACAAAUGAUGGUUUCUAUUGUUUGUUUCCCUAACUUCAUUAUUAUAAACUUUCAAUUUCUUUCAGGUCAUGGUUAUUGCAUUCUCUCUGGGAUUAGGAGCAAUGCCAUGGA